GAAUUUUGGACAAUGGGCGAAAGCCUUAUCCAGCAAUGCCGCGUGCAGGAUGAAGGCCUUCGGGUUGUAAACUGCUUUUGUACGGAACGAAAAGCUUUGGGUUAAUACCCUGUAGUCAUGCCGGUCACGUAAGAAUAAGCACCGGCUAAAUACAUGCCAGCAGCCGCGGUAAUACGAAGGGUGCAAGCGUUAAUCGGAAUUACUGGGAUUAAAGCGUGCGCAGGCGGGUGUGAAAGACAGAGGUGAAAUCCCCGGGCUCAACCUGGGAACUGCCUUUGUGACUGCAAGGCUAGAGUACGGCAGAGGGGGGUGGAAUUCCGCGUGUAGCAGUGAAAUGCGUAGAUAUGCGGAGGAACACCGAUGGCGAAGGCAACCCCCUGGGCCUGUACUGACGCUCAUGCACGAAAGCGUGGGGAGCAAACA
rnacentral:rRNA from 1 species